AUUGAACGCUGGCGGCAUGCCUUACACAUGCAAGUCGAACGGCAGCGCGGACUUCGGUCUGGCGGCGAGUGGCGAACGGGUGAGUAAUACAUCGGAACGUACCCUGGUGUGGGGGAUGACUGGUCGAAAGAUUAGCUAACACCGCAUACGACCUGAGGGUGAAAGGGGGGGACCGCAAAGCCUCAAGCAGCAUGAUGGGCCGAAGUCUGAUUAGCUAGUUGGUGGGGUAAAGGCGCACCAAGGCGACCAUCAGUAGCUGGUCUGAGAGGACGAUCAGCCACACUGGGACUGAGACACGGCCCAGACUCCUACGGGAGGCAGCAGUGGGGAAUUUUGGACAAUGGGGGCAACCCUGAUCCAGCAAUGCCGCGUGUGUGAAGAAGGCCUUCGGGUUGUAAAGCACUUUUGUCCGGAAAGAAAUCGCGCUGGUUAAUACCUGGCGUGGAUGACGGUACCGGAAGAAUAAGCACCGGCUAACUACGUGCCAGCCGCCGCAGUAA
rnacentral:rRNA from 1 species